rnacentral:lncRNA from 1 species
AUUCACGUUGGAUCUUAUGCCCAGCAGUUCUUUCUACUCACUGUGGGGCUUUGUCUUAGAAUGCACUUUUGUCUGGUGAGUUUUGAACAUCCGUGGGGCCUAAACUCGCAGGCCUUUUCAGAUCUGUCUACCCGCAGCAAGUCAAGUCUGCAAAGCUCCCUCAGGCGAACACUGCUCUCAGUUGGGCCCCUGGGGUUCGCGGGAACACCUGCCGCUUGCCUAGGGAUUGAGAUGUACAGCGAAUGCUGUUUCCUUUCUGUACACUGUGGCUGUCUUCAGACACACCAGAAGAUGGCAUCAGAUCCCAUUACAGACGGUUGUGAGCCACCGUGUGGUUGCAGGGACCUCUGGAAGAGCAGUCAGUGCUCUUAACCGCUGCGCCAUCUCUCCAGCCUGAAUUCUUCCAUCCUAGCACCCUUUCCUCCAUGGAGCUUUGAAGUUUUGCAUGCUGAGCGCAUCCCUAAAAUGUCAGAGGGAAGGAAACUGCACACUGGAGGAGAGACAAUGGAUUAAUAAAAGCGGCACUUUAAUCAGCCCCGAUGAAGCAGCUGCAUGUCUACUUCCAAGCAUUUUUUAUUCAUGGGGAAGCAAUCAAGAAGAUUAAUUUAGGCUUUAUCUCCCUGGGUUUAAGAAGUUAAGCCUUCACUUGAUCACCGGCAACCUGAGUCAGUUCUUCCCACUCUUCGUGCAGGAUGCUCUUCCUCUGGCCU